GGCAAAUGGAUGGAACUAGAAAAUGUCAUCCUGAGUGAGAAAUAAAACCAGGAAACAUGGAAAAUAAUACCAGUGUUGAAAAUACUAGCUCAUGGAAAUACAUGGCUACUCUCCGGUUGGAUCUGGUAAAUCUUGCUCCUGCAGGUCAAUUUAGUUUUUUCUAUUUUAAUCAUUUUUGAUGAUCAUUCUAAGUAUCCCCAGAGGUCCUGAAGCUCACUCUGUAGACCACAUUGACCUUGAACUCACAGAGACAUCUGCUCCUGCCUCUGGACUGCUGGGAUUAAAGUGUUGGAAUUUGAACUGAGAGCCUUACACGUACUAGGAAAAUGCUCUAUCACCAAGCUCCAUCCCCGGCACUCCCUAUUCCCACCCCAAUAGGAAUUGUCAAGAGGAAAGGUCUUGGACAGACACAUGGAUCUACCUGAGAAUGGAAAAUAAAAUGGAUUUGGAGAGUGAACUGGCAGUUGUUGUCAAGACGAAGGACUGCUCUCUGCUAUCUGACAGCUGGACCCCAAUGCCAGGGACAACACCCACACAACUCAUUGAACAUCGAGAAGUCAAGUUGGUACCUACAUGGAGCCUUCACCACUGUGAGAACUUUUGACUUAUAUGCAAAACCUUUGACCUGCCUGCAAACUAUACUAGGGCAACGUUGACACAGAAUGUGUGGGUGUAGCCAACCAAUGUCUGAUUUAAGUUAGGGCCCACUCCAUGUGAAGGAACCCAUACCUGACACUGCUAGGAAAACCAAGAUCCAGAGACUAGCUAUCCCAGAGACCUAAGCUAAAACCAUUCACAACUGGUCUUGAGAAAAAUCAAUAAAAUGAUUCCUAAUGAUAGUCUUCUAUUCCUAUAGAUAAGUGCCUUAUCCCGUCAUCAUCAGGGACGCUUCCUGUGAUAGUAGAUUGGAACAGAUACAGAGACCUACAGCCAGACGCCAUGCAGAGGGAAUCUACAUUGGAGCUUUCUAUUAAAUCCCUCCCCUUAAAGCUCAGGGAAUCCCACAGAUGUGGAGGCAGAAACAUUGUAAAAGUCAGAAUGGGUGGAAGAGACCAGAAGAACAAGGCCCUCUGAAUCCGCUAAGCAAGGUACAUAUGAGCUCACAGAGACUUAAGCAGCAAGCAAGGGGCU